AGAGCGAACGGAGGAUGCCUAGGCUAUCCGGAGGCGAGGAAGGACGCGGAAAGCUGCGAAAAUUUACGGGGAGCUGCAAACAGGCUUUGAUCCGUGAGUGUCCGAAUGGGGCAACCCGGCAGGCUGAAGGCCUGUCACCGGCGAUUAGCCGGGGCGAACGCGGGGAACUGAAACAUCUCAGUACCCGCAGGAAGAGAAAGAAACAUCGAUAUCCUGAGUAGAGGCGAUCGAAAGGGGCAGAGCCUAAACCGUGCAGUUUACGGACUGUGCGGGGUUGUAGGAGCGUCCAAAGGAACAUGUCAAGGAACGCGAAGCAGAUGGAAAGCUGCCGCAUAGUGGGUGACACGCCCGUAGCGGUAACGAGGACAUGUCAGGGACGCCACCUGAGUAGGGCGGGGCACGAGGAAUCCUGUCCGAAUCCGCGGGGACCAUCCCGCAAGGCUAAACACUUCCGGAAGACCGAUAGUGGACCAGUACCGUGAGGGAAAGGUGGGAAGCACCCCGAACAGGGGAGUGAAAUAGAACCUGAAACCGUUCGUUUACAAGCGGUCGGAGCGCGCGAGCGCGACGGCGUGCCUUUUGCAUAAUGAGCCUACGAGUUGCUUCUUCCCGGCGAGGCUAAGCGCCUGAGGCGCGGAGCCGGAGCGAGAGCGAGUCUGAACAGGGCGUUCAGUCGGGAGGAGCAGACGCGAAACCUAGUGAUCUACCCUUGUCCAGGGUGAAGUGGCCGUAACAGGCCAUGGAGGCCCGAACCAGUUUCCGUUGAAAAGGGCUUGGAUGAGAUGAGGGUAGGAGUGAAAGGCCAAUCAAACUGGGAGAUAGCUCGUACUCCCCGAAAUGUCUUUAGGGACAGCCUCGAAUUAGCUUCACGGAGGUAGAGCUACUGAUAGGAUGAGAGGGCUUCAUCGCCUGUCGAUUCCUGACAAACUCCGAAUGCCGUGAAGUGAUGUUCGGGAGUGAGUCGUCGGGUGCUAAUGUCCGGCGGCAAAAGGGAAAGAGCCCAGACCCUCGGUUAAGGCCCUCAAGAGCAGUUUAAGUUGACGGAACGAGGUGACAUCGCAGAGACAGCUAGGAUGUUAGCUUGGAAGCAGCUAUUCAUUUAAAGAGUGCGUAACAGCUCACUAGUCGAGCGACGUCGCGUGGAUGAUGAACGGGCAUCAAGACUGCCGCCGAAACCAGGGAUUCAAUGCUUGCGCAUUGAGUGGUAGGGGAGCAUUCCGGUCGGCGCUGAAGGAGAGUCGUGAGGCUUUCUGGAGCGUCCGGAAAAGAAAAUGUAGGCAUGAGUAACGACAAGGGGCGUGGAAACGCCCCCGCCGAAAACCCAAGGUUUCCGGGGCCACGCUAAACGGCCCCGGGUGAGCCGGGAGCUAACGGUAAGCCGAGAGGCGAUCCGGAUGCACACGCGGUUAAUAUUCCGCGGCCGGCCCGUCGGGCGAUGUCGCGACCGAGAAGUGAAACCUCCGCGCGGAGACGGAAUUCCGCGUUGAAGGCCGUAGGGGGGACCCGAAAGCCGACAGUACGGCGAGCCUCCGGGCGAGCCGACAGCGAGGGUAAUCAUGCUCGCGAGAAAAGCGACUAGCGCUAAGAGACGGGCCGCCCGUACCGUAAACCGACACAGGUGGGUGGGGAGAGUAUCCUGAGGCGCUCGAGUGAAUCACGGCCAAGGAACUAGGCAAAUUGACCCCGUAACUUAGGGAUAAGGGGUCCCGCGGCGACGCGGGCGCAGAGAAAUGGCCCAGGCGACUGUUUACCAAAAACAUAUGGCUAUGCGAAAUCGUUAAGAUGACGAAUAUGGCCUGACACCUGCCCGGUGCCGGAAGGUUAAGAGGGGGGGUCACCGAAAGGGAAGCCCUGAAUUGAAGCCCCGGUAAACGGCGGCCGUAACUAUAACGGUCCUAAGGUAGCGAAAUUCCUUGUCGGGUAAGUUCCGACCUGCACGAAUGGUGUAACGAUCUGGGCGCUGUCUCAGCCGUGAGCUCGGUGAAAUUGUAGUGGCGGUGAAGAUGCCGCCUACCCGCAACGGGACGAAAAGACCCCGUGAACCUUUACUAUAGCUUAGCGCUGAUCUUGGACGUCGGAUGUGUAGCAUAGGUGGGAGGCUUCGAGGCGCGGCCGCCAGGUCGCGAUUAGCCGCCAAAUGAAAUACCACCCUUCCGUCGUCUGGGGUCUAACUUCGCGAGAAGGACACCGCUUGGUGGGUAGUUUGACUGGGGUGGUCGCCUCCAAAAGAGUAACGGAGGCUUCCCAAGGUCCGCUCAGGACGAAUGGCAACCGUCCGCAGAGUGCAGUGGCAGAAGCGGGCUUGACUGGGAGACAAACAGGUCGAGCAGGUACGAAAGUAGGGCAAAGUGAUCCGGCGGUUCCCCAUGGGAGGGCCGUCGCUCAUAGGACAAAAGGUACUCCGGGGAUAACAGGCUGAUCGCUCCCAAGAGCUCAAAUCGACGGAGCGGUUUGGCACCUCGAUGUCGGCUCGUCACAUCCUGGGGCUGGAGCAGGUUCCAAGGGUUCGGCUGUUCGCCGAUUAAAGUGGCACGCGAGCUGGGUUCAGAACGUCGUGAGACAGUUCGGUCUCUAUCUGUUGUGGGCGUUGGAAGUCUGCGGAGGUCUGGCCUUAGUACGAGAGGACCGGGUCGGACGAACCUCUGGUCAACCGGUUGCGGCGCCAGCCGCACCGCCGGGUAUCCACGUUCGGUCAGGAUAAGCGCUGAAAGCAUCUAAGCGCGAAGCCGUCUCCAAGAUGAGACUUCCAUUGAGGGUCGUGGGAGACUACCACGUCGAUAGGCAGGAAGUGUAAGGCCGGUGACGACCUGAGCUGACCUGUACUAAUGGCCCGAUAUCUUUCUUU
rnacentral:rRNA from 1 species